CUACGGGCGCAGCAGUGGGGAAUAUUGCACAAUGGACGAAAGUCUGAUGCAGCAACGCCGCGUGGAGGAUGACACAUUUCGGUGCGUAAACUCCUUUUAUAUAAGAAGAUAAUGACGGUACUAUAUGAAUAAGCACCGGCUAACUCCGUGCCAGCAGCCGCGGUAAUACGGAGGGUGCAAGCGUUACUCGGAAUCACUGGGCGUAAAGAGCGUGUAGGCGGGUUAAUAAGUUGGAAGUGAAAUCCUAUGGCUCAACCAUAGAACUGCUUCCAAAUCUGUUAACCUAGAAUAUGGGAGAGGUAGAUGGAAUUUCUGGUGUAGGGGUAAAAUCCGUAGAGAUCAGAAGGAAUACCGAUUGCGAAGGCGAUCUACUGGAACAUUAUUGACGCUGAGACGCGAAAGCGUGGGGAGCAAACAGGAUUAGAUACCCCAGUAGUC
rnacentral:rRNA from 1 species